UUUCCGUAGGUGAACCUGCGGAAGGAUCAUUAUCAAAACAGCGGACUUCGGUCCUUGCUGCACCCUUGUUUUUUUGCGUACCUAUCGUUUCCUCGGCGGGCUUGCCUGCCGGUUGGACAUUAUCAAACCUUUUUGUAGUUGCAAUCAGCGUCAGAAACAAAACAAUAAUUACAACUUUCAACAACGGAUCUCUUGGUUCUGGCAUCGAUGAAGAACGCAGC
rnacentral:misc_RNA from 1 species